CCGAGUGUAGCGCAGUCUGGUUAGCGCACCUGAUUUGGGAUCAGGGGGUCGGAGGUUCGAAUCCUCUCACUCGGA
rnacentral:tRNA from 1 species